rnacentral:rRNA from 1 species
GAUGAACGCUGGCGGCGUGCCUAAUACAUGCCAGUCGAGCGAACAGAUGAGGAUCUUGCUCCUCUGACGUUAGCGGCGGACGGGUGAGUAACACGUGGAUAACCUACCUAUAAGACUGGGAUAACUUCGGGAAACCGGAGCUAAUACCGGAUAAUAUAUUGAACCGCAUGGUUCAAUAGUUAAAGACGGUUUUGCUGUCACUUAUAGAUGGAUCCGCGCCGCAUUAGCUAGUUGGUAAGGUAACGGCUUACCAAGGCAACGAUGCGUAGCCGACCUGCGAGAGUGAUAGGCCACACUGAGACUGAGACAAGGUCAAGACUCCUACGGGAGGAAGCAGUAGGGAAUCUUCAGAAAUGGGGGAAAGUCUGUCGGAGCAACGCCACGGUAUUGAUGAAGGUCUUCGGAUCGUGAAACUCUGUUAUUAGGGUAGAACAAAGUUGUAAGUAACUGUGCACGUCUGGACGGUACUUAAUCAGAAAGCCACGACUAACUACGUG